rnacentral:rRNA from 1 species
GACAUAGGUGGCGAACGUUAUCCGGAUUUAUUGGGCGUAAAGGAUGCGUAGAUGGUAGAAUAAGUUAUUGGUUGAAAUCGAGCUCAACUUGAUGGAAGCUAGUAAUACUGUUCUACUGGAGGGCAGAAGAGGUUAGCGGAACUUACACAAGUAGGGGUGAAAUCCAAUGAUCUGUGAGGGACCACCAAAAAAGGACGAAGGCAGCUAACGUAUUCUGUUCCAUGAC